CCUANGGGUGGCUGCAGUCGAGGAUCUUUGGCAAUGGACGCAAGUCUGACCAAGCGACGCCGCGUGCGGGAUGAAGGCCUUCGGGUUGUAAACCGCUGUCAGGGGGAAUGAAAUGUAUCUGGGUUCUCCCAGGUAUUUGACUAGACCCCAGAGGAAGCCGGGGCUAAGCUCGUGCCAGCAGCCGCGGUAAGACGAGUCCGGCAAACGUUAUUCGGAAUUACUGGGCUUAAAGCGUGCGUAGGUGGUCUGAAGGGUUGGGAGUGAAAUCCCACGGCCUAACCGUGGAAUUGCUCUCAAAACCGUUGGACUAGAGGAGGUUAGAGGCGAGCGGAACUACGGGUGGAGCGGUGAAAUGCGUUGAUAUCCGUAGGAACACCGGUGGCGAAGGCGGCUCGCUGGGGCCUUUCUGACACUGAGGCACGAAAGCUAGGGUAGCGAACGGGAUUAGAUACCCUANUANUC
rnacentral:rRNA from 1 species